rnacentral:rRNA from 1 species
AAGAGAGAGUUAAAGAGGACGUGAAACCGGUGAGGUAGAAACGGAUAGAGCUAGCGUAUCAAGCCGGCAUUCACUUGCGAGGCCGUCGCGCGCUCUGGCUUCGCUCUCCAGAUUGGGACGGAGUUGGAGUUGUACACGGUCGGGCAGUGCAUUUGUUGGCGAGUGCGCUGAGCAGUUCGAGGCGGCAUCGCGAACUUGCAUUUGCGGCCAGCUUGUCUGGAACCCGGUGCAGGCCAGCGAUGUUCGCUUUGAGCAAAACAAAAAGGCAUGGCCCACGGGCUCAUUGUGGGUGUCGGGCCGGUGGUCGGAAGCGGUCGCUUGCGACACGUGCUUGCUUGCUGACUCGGCCCUGCUGGGGUCCUCAUGCUGACGCUCAGUGUAAGAGCUGGUCAUCUAUCCGACCCGUCUUGAAACACGGACCAAGGAGUUUAUCGUGUGCGCAAGCCAUUGGGCGUUGAAAACCCAAAGGCGCAAUGAAAGUGAAUGUGCCCGCAAGGGACUGACAUGCUAUCCCCUGGGCUACGGCCCGGAGGCGCAGCAUGGCCCCAUCCUGAUUGCUUGCAAUGGGGUGGAGGAAGAGCGUGCGCGAUGAGACCCGAAAGAUGGUGAACUAUUCCUGAGCAGGAUGAAGCCAGUGGAAACUCUGGUGGAAGUCCGAAGCGAUUCUGACGUGCAAAUCGAUCG